rnacentral:rRNA from 1 species
GAUGAACGCUGGCGGCGUGCCUAAUACAUGCAAGUCGAGCGAACAGACGCGGAGCGUGCUCCACUGACGUUAACGGCGGACGGAUGAGUAACACGUGGAUCACCUAGCUAUAGGAAUGGGAUAGCUUCGGGAAACCGGAGCGCAUACGGGAUAAGAUAGUAAACCGCAUGGUUCAAUAGUGAAAGACGGUUUUGCUGUCACUUAUAGAUGGAUCCGCGGCGAAUUAGCUAGUUGGUAAGGUAAAGGCUUACCAGGGCGACGAUGAGUAGCCGACCUGAGAGGGUGACCGGCCACACUGGAACUGAGACACGGUCCAGACUCCUACGGGAGGCAGCAGUAGGGAAUCUUGCACAAUGGGCGAAAGCCUGACGGAGCAACGCCGCGUGAAUGAUGAAGGUCUUCGGAUCGUAAAAUUCUGUUAUUCGGGACGAAAAAAUGUAUAAGUAACUCUGCACGUAUUGACGGUACCUAAUCAGAAAGCAACGGCUAACUACGUG